rnacentral:rRNA from 1 species
GACGAACGCUGGCGGCGUGCCUAAUACAUGCAAGUAGAACGCAGUUGCGAACGGGUGAGUAACGCGUAGGUAACCUUCCUCAUAGCGGGGGAUAACUAUUGGAAACGAUAGCUAAUACCGCAUACUGUUAGAUGGACCUGCGUUGUAUGAGCUAGUUGGUGAGGUACAGGCUCACCAGGGCGACGAUACAUAGCCGACCUGAUAGGGUGAUCGGCCACACGGGGACUGAGACACGGCCCAGACUCCUACGGGAGGCAGCAGUGGGGAAUAUUGCACAAUGGGCGCAAGCCUGAUGCAGCCAGGCCGCGUGUAUGAAGAAGGUCUUCGGGUUGUAAAGUACUUUCAGCGGGGAGGCGUUACCCGCAGAAGAAGCACCGGCUAACUCCGUGCUAGCAGCCGCGGUAAUAC